AUUCCCAUCACUUAGCUGGCUAGCCCCUUCUGGAAAAUAAUCUUGAGGUCUUUGAUGAUGGUGGCGAUAGUGGUGGUGGUGAUGAUGAUGAUGGUGGGAUCUCUCUUCAUCUUUACAACAGAGGUUAAUGCAGCAGUCUGCUCCACUCCAUUCAGCAGCACGUUCAAGGACGUUUCGGCGUCCCCCGGAGGGAUCCUCAUCGGCGUUGGGGGCAACAGAGACGUCAGCAUCUGGUCCGGUUGUUCUUGGCGAUCAAUGGGGGCGAUGUUUGAUCAGAUAUCGACCGGUGGCCGAGGACGGGGUGCCGCAACAUCGAGCGGAGACCUCUACGCGUGGGCGAGAACCGACGCCGGGAGCAGUGUACUACUACCAUCGAUAUGCGUGGUACCACGUUAUGUCUGGCGUACAGUCAUUCACGGGCGGAGCACCGGGCUACAUCUACGCCACCGGCUACAAGGAUGGCUAUUGGAGCGUCUUCUGCGCCAGGGCGCCUGCGCCUGGCGAGCACCUGUCCUGGUUGACGGCUUCGUUAAGUCUCCUGCAAAUUUUCGCCGACGUCUACGCCGUAGGUUGCUCGUCCGACGAAUGUUGGGCCUGCGACGCCUUGUACCGGCUGUGGCGUAAGCCCAACAUUGACUGCGCCAACACGACGUGGGUGAGGGCGAGUGGUCCAGACGCUCCGGCUUUGCCCAGGAAAAUAGAGGUGGACUCCGCGGGUGGAGUCUAUCUCCAAGCAAACAAUGGGCAACUCUACCACAGGGCUGUACAUCAAACGACGUGGACUCAGCCAAUGCUCAAUGGAAACUUCAAGUCCUUCACUGUCCACGAAUCUAACCUUAUCUUAUUAAACGCCGGUGGGAUCUUGAAGUUAUGCAAACUGUAACACCAUUAUUCGCUCACCCACCCACUCACUCACCUUUUCGCCCCCUUUCCCUCCAACUCACCCACCUACUCACCCACCUUCUCACUCAACCUCCCACUCAUACACCCACCCACUCUUUCACCGACCUAUUCACUCACCCACCUACUCCCUCACCCACUUUCUCACCCACCCACUCUCUCACCCAUCCAUUAUCUCACCCUCUCGCCUAUCCAGUCAUCCACUCACUCUCUCAGCCACUCACCCAUUCAUCCACCCACUCACCCAUCUACUUAUCCACCCACUCAAUCAGACACUGACCGUCCCAUUCACCGACGUACCCACUCACUCACCCACUCAUUCAUUCACCCAUCCACCCACUCACUCACCAAUUCCCCCACUCACCCACCCACCCACUCACUCACCCUCCCACUCAUCCACCCACCCACUAACCUACCCAGGUGAUAGAUAUGUGGUGGUGGUGAGUUCUUUUAUUUUUGUUGUGUUUUAAGAUUAAAUUUAACAAAAUAAGAACAUUCAACAAAGAGUGGAACCUAUGGAACUUCAAUGGAGAGUCAUUCAGCAGCCUUUACAGAGACACCUCGAUAUACAAAGAUGUGAUCUGCCUCGUCUGGUAUGCCGGAGGUCCUGGGUGAUGGUGGUGAUGGUGGUGGUGACGGGGGUGAUAGCGAUGGUGAUUGUGAUGGUGGUAGUUAUGGUGGUGGUCGUAGUCAUGGUGGUGGUGAUGUGGAUGAUGGUGAUGGUGGCGGAGAGGGUGGUAAAAUAUGUUAUUGUAGGUAAUUAAGUGUGAUUAACAAAAAUUAUGCGUUAGGUGUAUUUAACAAUGUGAUAAAAUGUGUUAUAUGAUUAAUGUAUGUGUUUUUAUUUGUACAUGCCUAAACAACUUUUGUUCAGCCGGAUAGAGGGGGCUAAACAGGCGCGGCACGGGCAGAGAAGAGAUGGAGUGAUGAGGUACAGAAGUAUGUGGAGCUGAGUGGAUUUGCCGAUGACUGGUACCAGCGGUGUCAAGAUCGGCCUCUGUGGAGGAGGCUCGUGAAGGACGCUGCUGGGCAGUUGGAGGCAGCCGCCCUCCAACAACAACGGAGGGCAGAGGAGUGACGCCCACAACAACGAGCGGAGCUCCGGUUGGCUAAAGCACAGCAAGUUGGCACAGUAGGGGGCACAGGUAGUGCAUCAGCCAAUCAUCUUGGUCAUCUCAGUCAGUCGACCCGUGGCACCUGUGUCUGCGCAGUGACCUCCUGCCAGCGGGCGUUCGACACUUCACGUGGCCUCAAGGUGUACAUGGCCUGACACAAGUGUCGUGGUGACGUCACCGCCACUUAGUGGCGAAUGGCGGUUGUUGUUGUUGUAUGUGUCGUUAUUAUGUUGUGCGAUUUAUUAUUGGCUCUCUCAUUGUCUAGGGGUAUGCAUUACUGAUCGAGAUAAUCUCAAUGAUUCUCGUUUCAAUAUAUAUAUGAUAGUCGCUUCAACAUUUAUGAUUCUUGCUUCAGCAUUUAUGAUUCACACUUUAAUAGUUACAUGUGAAAUUAUGUCAGGUCUUCAGGAUUCAGAUCUCAUCGCCGGAUACUGUUCGUUAUUAUGACAAUGACGGACGAAUUUAGUAAAUAAGCACUCGCAAAUCUGUUUUUCAUCUAAGCAACUUCAAUCUCAACUUAACUUCAUAUCCAACAACUCUUAUCAUCAGUAUUCCAACAGUGCCCAUGCAAAUAUACAUAAUCAAUCCGUACUGGAUGAUCAUAAAAGCAUCUCACGAUCACGUGGUUAAACCAGAACAAUAGGCAACACGAACACCACCUCCUCUUCGGGUUCCCAUUAAAAUUUCUGAUUUUUAUCAGUUAGCACGUGCAGUGGUUUAGCGAGCGUAGCAAACUGUGGAACAAACCGAAGGUAGUACAACACGAACCCAACAAAACUCCAUACAUCCCCGACGCAUGUAGAGGUCGGCCAGUCGCGAACACAAGCCGUCUUGUCCAGAUCCGUGGCGAUACUGUCAGAGCUCACAAUGUGAACCAGGUACCGCAUUGAACGUUGAAACAGAUGACAUUUCUUAGGUUUAAAUUUGAGGUUAGCGAAGCGCAUUCUCUCAAAAACGGCAGGCAAGCUUCGGAGGUGUUCCUCGAACGUGCGACUGAACACAAUAAUAUCAUGAAAAUAUAUGAGGCAAGUGUCCCAUUGCAAUCCAGCCAAAACGAGCUCCAUCAAGCAUUGGAACGUGGUGGGAGCGGAAUUCAAUCCUAUCGGAAGACAGUUGUAUUGAAAGAGUCCCUGAGGCAUGCGGAAUGCGGUCCUCGGCUUUGAAGAGUCGUCCAGGGGCAACUGCCAAAACCCGAAAGACAAAUCGAGAGUCGAGAAAUACCGCGCUCCCAACAGCGAAUCGAGGGAGUCAUCCAUUUACGUAUGGGUAUACGCGUCAGCCAUUGACACCUUAUUAAGUUUGCAGAAAUCAACACAGUAUCUGAGAUUGCCAUCCUUCUUCUUGACAAGAACAGCCAGUGCCCCCCACGGGCUGUUAGACAAAGAAAUUAUAUCAAUGGCCAGCAUAUCGUUCACCGUGUUCUGCACUCGUUCCUUCUCCGUAGGGCUCAAGCGGUGGGAAUUUUGCCGAUAUAGGGCUGGUCUCCCUGGUAUCAAUGUGGUGGGACAAAAGAAACGUGCGACCCAAAUCGAAAUCAUCUUUACUAAAGACAUCAGCAAACUCGGUAAACAGCGCACGCAGCCCCACACGUUGGUCGGCGGACAACGACAAAUUCUCACGGCAUAGUUCAGUGAUCCAAUGAUGGGCCGACAAUGAACCCGGACAAGUCAAACUCACCACCUGGCAGGACACGUCCUCGUCGUGAUCCGUAAAAGCGGCAGCAGCAUGAGCCAGCACCAUACCCACAAGGACCAGAACCCCUUCCGGGCCCCCAUUUAGAACCUGAAAAAAUGGGGCCUGUCCAGAACGGACAAUCGUCUGAGUGCCAAUAAGAAACAAAACCCAUGGUAGAAGCGUUAGAGGGAGACGAAAGGAUUCCAGCGUAAUUAUCCGAAAUAUUACUAUUUUAUGUAUUUAUGCGCAUACUUUAUGCUAAUUAGAGAGGUAGCCUUGAUUGGUUAUGCUAAAGUAUGGGAUUAUGCUAAUGUAUAUAGUUAUGAUCGUUAUGCUUUGCUUCGUUGUCUAGGGUUGUAUUAUCAGUCGGGACAAUACAAUGAAUUGUAUUAAGUUAUGCAAGUGUGAUGAAAUUAUGCUAAAUUAAGCUCAGCUUCGUUGUCUAGGGUGGUAUUAUCAAUUGGGAUAAUACAAUUAUU